GUAAGACAGACAGUCGCGCGGCGAAGCCGAAAGGCUCGCUGUGAGGAAAGUCCGGGCUCCACAGGGCAAGGAUAACGGGUAACGCCCGCCCAGAGCGAUCUGAGGAAAAGUGCAACAGAAAUAGACUACCUGCGCACUUUGUCUUUCUGGGUCUGCAACCUCCCUUCCGACGUAACGGAGGGCGGAAGUGCAGGCCGGGAAAGGCAAAGUGCUGCGGGAAAAGGUGGAAAGGUGCGGUAAGAGCGCACCCGUCGGCUCGAGAGUGUCCGAUGCUGUAAACUCUAUCCGGAGCAACACCGGUAUGGGAGCAAUAGGCUUGCCCGGCCGCUCCCGGGGUGGCUGGAGCGCCGCGGCAACGCGGCGCGUAGAUAGAUGACUGUCAAAUACAGAACCCGGCUUACAGUCUUGCUCG
rnacentral:RNase_P_RNA from 1 species